CCAACUGGAAAGAGUCCAGAGAAAAGCAGAGAAAAUGGUCAGUUGUCUUGGGAAAAAAGAAAAGCCACAAGAAAGAAAGAUUGAAAGAAUUGGGCUUACUCUGUUUACAGAACAGAAGGACAACUGAACACAUGAAAACUAUCAUCUAUAUAAGUUACCUCUAAGGAGGAUUCCAAUGGAGUCUGCUACAGAAGUCUUCUUAUCUGCUGAAGCCUGCCCUCCUGAAAGAAAAGAAGCAAUAGCAGCAUCUGGAUUUCGGAUAACUAAUGUAGCCUUGGAAAAGCAGUUCUGCAUGAAGACUUGCAAUGAAACUACCCAGAAAGAUCAU